CCUACGGGAGGCAGCAGUGAGGAAUAUUGGUCAAUGGGCGAGAGCCUGAACCAGCCAAGUCGCGUGAAGGAUGAAGGAUCUAUGGUUUGUAAACUUCUUUUAUAUGGGAAUAAAGUGAGGAACGUGUUCCUUUUUGUAUGUACCAUAUGAAUAAGCAUCGGCUAACUCCGUGCCAGCAGCCGCGGUAAUACGGAGGAUGCGAGCGUUAUCCGGAUUUAUUGGGUUUAAAGGGUGCGUAGGUGGUUAAUUAAGUCAGCGGUGAAAGUUUGUGGCUCAACCAUAAAAUUGCCGUUGAAACUGGUAGACUUGAGUAUAUUAGAGGUAGGCGGAAUGCGUGGUGUAGCGGUGAAAUGCAUAGAUAUCACGCAGAACUCCGAUUGCGAAGGCAGCUUACUAAACUAUAACUGACACUGAGGCACGAAAGCGUGGGGAUCAAACAGGAUUAGAUACCCCUGUAGUC
rnacentral:rRNA from 1 species